GAGCGCGGGGUUUAUACAAUGAAAAUCAUAGGUGGCAUCGAUCAGAUAAGAUUUAAUGGCUACAUACUGAGCUCGUAUAUUUGUCCGUAAAAUUAAACUGGAUUUUUAAGCUUUGCAGGUGAAGCUCUCUGGGCCCACCAAACGGGUAAUUUCUUAUUGAGAGUAGUAAAGUCACUUACGUUUUUUAGGACGAUGUUAGGAAGUUUGAGGUUAUUCUGAACUGGCAACGUUACGCUGGAUGGUGAGACGGGGAGGUCGGCGAUAUCAUGUUUUUCGUCUUCCGUUUUUAAGACUUCAAAACGGUUUGCUCUUUUUGACUUCGUGGACUGGAGAGUUUGGUGAUGACGAUGACGAUGAGAGGGCUCUUUUUGUUGGAGUGGCAUUCAUUUUCGAUUUGCGAACGGUGUUUUUGUUAAUUAUAACGAUAGGAGAAACCACAUUAGCCAUGGCAAUUAAAAAUAAACUGAUAAGAUACGUAACACAUUGCGAACAGCGCAUGUUAUCGCUUUAGCUGCCGAAGCCCGACUGAUUUUAAAGUUAUAUAUUUAUUACACAGAUGAAAAAUAUAAGGUCAAAACCGUAAAGAAAAACGUUUAAUCUAAUUUAUUCUUUUAUAGAUCAACAAAAUAUUCAAAAUCAACAAAAUCUUCUAAAUCCACUAAAUAUUCAAAGUAAGUAUAAGUUACGAGUUACUUGUACCUAGUGUUAUAUUUUAAUUUCUAUAAUGUAUAUAUGUAUAUCGGACCACCCACAUUCCAUAAUAUGGUUCUUUGUCAUUAGUUGUCUCGUGUUUUAUUUUAAGGUUAUAUAUUUAUUACACAAAUAAAAAUAUAAGCUUCAAAC